AUUGAACGCUGGCGGCAGGCUUAACACAUGCAAGUCGAGCGGAGAUGAGGUGCUUGCACCUUAUCUUAGCGGCGGACGGGUGAGUAAUGCUUAGGAAUCUGCCUAUUAGUGGGGGACAACAUUCCGAAAGGAAUGCUAAUACCGCAUACGUCCUACGGGAGAAAGCAGGGGAUCUUCGGACCUUGCGCUAAUAGAUGAGCCUAAGUCGGAUUAGCUAGGUGGUGGGGUAAAGGCCGACCAAGGCGACGAUCUGUAGCGGGUCUGAGAGGAUGAGCCGCCACACUGGGACUGAGACACGGCCCAGACUACGACGGGAGGCAGCAGUGGGGAAUAUUGGACAAUGGGGGAAACACUGAUCCGGCCAUGCCGCGUGUGUGAAGAAGGCCUUAUGGUUGUAAAGCACUUUAAGCGAGGAGGAGGCUACUGAGACUAAUACUCUUGGAUAGUGGACGUUACUCGCAGAAUAAGCACCGGCUAACUCUGUGCCAGCCGCCGCGGUAA
rnacentral:rRNA from 1 species